rnacentral:rRNA from 1 species
GACGAACGCUGGCGGCGUGCUUAACACAUGCAAGUCGAACGGAAAGGCCCCUUUGGGGGUUCUCGAGUGGCGAACGGGUGAGUAACACGUGAGUAACCUGCCCUUGACUUCGGGAUAACUUCAGGAAACUGGGGCUAAUACCGGAUAGGAAUCCUUGCUGCAUGGUGGGGGUUGGAAAGCUUCGGCGGUUUUGGAUGGACUCGCGGCUUAUCAGCUUGUUGGUGGGGUAGUGGCUUACCAAGGCUUUGACGGGUAGCCGGCCUGAGAGGGCGACCGGCCACAUUGGGACUGAGAUACGGCCCAGACUCCUACGGGAGGCAGCAGUGGGGAAGAUUGAACAAGGGGCGGAAGCCGGAUGCAGCAACGCCGCGUGCGGGAUGACGGCCUUCGGGUUGUAAACCGCUUUCAGCAGGGGCGAAGCUUGUGGUGACGGUACCUGCAGAAGAAGCACCGGCUAACUACGUG